AUCACCUCUCUUAUAGUCUGAGAGCCAGCCUAAAAGAUCUUCCACUUCUGUGAGUCACAAAUUAUUUCCCAGCCCAGCCAUGUGUUCCCACUCUCAAACCAAUUUUUCAGCAAUCAGGUGCGGGUGGCACGGGUCAGCCUCUUGGUUCCAUUGGUCAGCCCUGCCCAGCCCAGAGCUGUGGCCAGGCUGAUUUGCUCGGAGUGCAGAGAUCUGCCUCAGAUGGCAUCUUGUAGAAGAGGAUUGGACAGACAAGAGAAGACUCCAGUGUGGGAUUGGAAAGAAAUCUUUUCCACCUCUGGAGAAGUUUUCCAGCGGGAAGAAUAGUGCCAUCAUUUUCCUCUGUACUGAAUACCAGAUUUGGCUAAGCACUGUGCAAAACCAGCCCCCCAGGGCUGCCAGGCUGGUGCAAAAACAGAUCUUUCUCAACUUUGGGAUAACUCAUUCACAUUCCUGGUUUUCACAAUCAUUGCAAAACAGACCUCAGGAUUCUAGCAGCCAAGAUGCCGGGUAUAAUGAGCCUGGUCAGAGCUGCCUGGAAUUGCUAAUGACUGCGGGUUUUUGUUUUUAAACCUAUGCCCUGGUUAGGGAAGGGAAACUCGUUGUGCAGGGUGCAGCAACCCAAGCACAAAACGUGAUAAGAGGAAGAGUUAUGACUGCAGCCACCGCAGCGCGACUCCACUUUGGGGCUCUGCCAGAGUUCCCAUAAAACCCGCCUUUUUCUGGAGUCUACACCAUGUGCUCUUAUGUCAUCAAUUUAAGAGGCUUUUAUGAGAUGCCAGAGCAUGUUACUUAAAGCAUUCUCAUUUAUUUUGCCCUUAUGCUUUUAUUACAUAGAAUUUGAAUUAAAUCCAUUUGGCAAUGUUUUGCAGUGGAGGGAGGCAGGGGUCUGUCAGGAGGAGGAAAGGAAUUUGUUAGUGAGGGGAAAGCUCCUUUAGACCCCAGGGAGGGAACAGAAGUAAAGGUGCCCCGGGGUGGGAAGCGCGCCCUCCCCACAACGCGGUGAGAUGUGGAAAGUUCCUCACGCUUCACUAGGGCUUCCCUCCCUCCUGCAAUCUGUGGUAGCUUUUCUAAAGGCUACUUCUGCCCUCCAUUGUUCUGUUCAAAACCCUCCAGCAACAUCACAUUGCUCUCAGAAUAAAACUCAGAUUCCACAUUUGAUAUUUUUCAUCACCUAAGAUCUGGCCUCAGUCUGCAUCUACACUUUAGAUUCUUUCCUUUUCUUCUCACUCUCCAGCUAAACACCAACUGCUACCUGUCGGUCAAGGGGGCAAGGGCCAGACAAAAUAGCACCUUGGCCUCAACAUUUCACAUUAUCCUUCCAGAAGGAAGUGGUUGGUUUCUUCUCUGAAUGCCUAUGACGUUUUAUUGGUACAUCUUGAUGACAAUGAUCACUUUUUAUCUUGAUUUCUACAGUGCAUGCUUUUUUUCAAAAUUUUAAGUCUAGAACAACAGCUUCAUGAAUGUUCUAUCUUUGGAUCACUCUCAGCACGUAGCACAAUGAGUUGAACGUCAACCCCAUCCAAUGAAUACCUGUUGAAUGGUUAUGUAUAUGCUGACCCCAGGAGGAAAUUUCCGAAUUAAGAAGCAUUUGUCACUUACCUAUGAGUAGGUCUUAAGUGUUUCUUUUAGAGGCUCCUCCCAGAAUCAUAUACCUCCCCCACCACCUAAGAAAGCAGGCCUGGUAAUCACACAAAUCAGCCCCGUGGUUCCAUCGGUCAGCCCCACUCCAAGCUAGAGCCACGGCCAGGCUGAUUCGCUCUGAUGUCAGAGAUCUGCAAUCAGACGGCAUCUUGUAGAAGAUUACUAAAUACCAGGAUUGGGUUCAGCUGGUCACAAUAAAGAGGCUCCUACUCAGCCAACACUAUUAAAACAGAGUCCAUCCUGAGAUCUUCAUGGAGCUAUAAUCAGGCCAAGCCCCUCGGGGACACCCCUGGAUCUGGGGACCUUCAUUCUGGCCCUUCACCUUGGUCAGACAUGGCCACACACCUCUCAUCUGCUUCUUUAUGUUGGGCCAUGGGCAGGCCCUUCCAUCCAGGCAAGUUCUCCCCAUGUCCAACUCGACUGCAGGACCAUUCAGCUGGGGAUCUUGCAACUAGCAGCCUUCUCCACCCCAGUGCCAGCUGCGGCCCAUCCCAGAAGGACCUUGCUUCCUGGGGCAGCUAUAGCACGAGGAAGCAAUCUAAAUGGCUGAUUUACAAAGAGGUGCAUGAGAGAGAAGCUUUCUAAGGAUGGAAUUUCUGGAUCCACAACAAGAUGGGGAAACUGAGGCACAGCAAAAUUAAUCAAUUUGCCCAACAUCAAAAUUGGCUCUGCUGAUGGAGGAAGACCAAAGUGGGGAGCCAGAACCUUGGAAGUCGGGUCACAGUCCUGUGUGCAGAGCCGCAGCUUGGCUGAGAGGCGUUCAAUGUUUGUGUCUUUUAGACAGCUGAGAGUUUUUUAAACAAAAAUUUGAACAGUAAUUUCCAUCCCUGAUAAAGAAUUAAAUUGUAUCAAAUGCGCAUUGUUUGCAUUCUUCUGAUAAAAAGAUCCAUAGGGGUUUUGCCCUGUGCUUUUGAAGUUGAGGCUAAUUCCAUUUCAUACGUAAUCUCCUCAAAGAGAGGAAGCCUCAGCCAAUGAAAUUGGGGGACUUCCCCUGCCUCCACUCCUGCCUGGAAAGCACGUGGACUCAGCAGCCCAUGGCAGUGAGUGUGCUUUGCACUUUUCCUGUAGUGAGGGAGGAGAAGCAGAGGCCUCCCACCCCAGACCUUUGACUAAUUCGUUAUCCAACAGAUGGGGAACACCCGCUCUGUGCCAGGCGGUAUGCUGGGCACAGGGGCUAGAAAAGAGAUGCUAUUAUGGUUCUAGGAAAGAAAAAUCAUACUCCUGUUCCAUCCACUGAGUUCAAAACCAAUAGAGAGAUACAUUCAAGAGUCUGACAGAUGGAGAUUAAAAUAUCAGCCUUGUUAUUGGUAAAAGCUGGAUUGGAGACAGGGCUUACAUACGCAGCCUCCUAUUGUUUCCCACACUCACCCAACCCAUUACUGCAGAGCUGAACGACCGCAGCCUCCCCCACAGGGCAAAGCAUGCCCAGGAAGCUCACUGCCAGGCUGAGAGCUGAUAACCCAGCUCCUCCACAGGAGUGACACCUGAAAAAGAAAGGAAGGACGGAGACCAACGUACCAGCACCAGGCUCUCUCCAAGCUCACCAAUUCAACUCACCAUUUACUCCUCUGCAAGGAAGGAAUGAGUGAGGAUGAAAGGAGGGCCAGGAAUGUCGUUCUGGCUGAAGCCCUUCCACCUGGAAGCAUGACGCCAGGAAACUGGAGAUGCCCCCCACAAAUGUGCUCCUCCCCUCGUAGAGAAGAUGGCCCAGUGGGGAGACUGGAAAAGAAUUAUCAAAUGAUACGAUAAUUGCUUUACAGAGCGGGUGGUCCCUGGGCCAAGGCCAGAAGGAUGAGCAGCCCUUGCCAGCUGGACAAGUUGCAGAAGGACCAGAAUGUGCCAAGGCUCAGAGCCUGAUAUAAAGAGGGUGGGUACAAGACAAGGGUGGAUGUGCAGGAAGUGACAAAGGUAGACUUUGUCCUCUGGCUCUCGAAGGAGCAGCUCCCUCUACCACCAUCUGUUUACUGUCAAGGAAUAAGGGAUUGAGCACAGGACUCAGCAGGCAGAGGCUCCCAGGGCAAAGACUGGCUUCCUUGGCGCCUGGUUCACAUGGGCGCUCAGCACAUAUUCGUUCUUUGAACACACACCCAUCCCUCUGGCUGCUGUCCACCCCGCGUGGAGCAGGCCACUUUUCCUUCGUGCCUGUUUCUUUUAACUGCAGUCACCUUCUCACUUCCCUGAGCCUCUGUUGUGAACAUUCCCGGAGUGAUGUUUGCACAAGCCUGAUGUUCUCAGAAGCAUGGCUCUCUGUAAAUACAGAGUUUUAUUAUUAGAAGACGAUGAAUUUUUAAAAUGUCAAUUCUGGCCUUUUCAUCAUGACGGAGUGGAACUCAGGUCUGCCUACACUUUGCUCCUUCAUCAGAAACCUUGCGGGUCUCAGCUCGGUGCUGAGGACAUGACUUUGGGCAGCGGUCAAGGUCACAGCCACUCAGAGGAGCCAGGGAGAUCCUGUGAAUGAUGGAGACUGCCCAGCCCAAGCAUGGCCACCCAACUCUUGGGAAUGUUCAGGAAUUCGGGUCCAGCGUGGCUUGUCAAGAGAAGGCAGAAAUCUGUAUUUUAUGUAAAAUCUCCUGAAUUUUAAACAUUUGCCUCAAAAUCCAAAAUUAAAAAAGAAUGGUAUGAAGGCCUAACAUGACACAGCUGUGGGUUGAAUGUGCUCCCCUCCCGCCGCCCAGUGCCAGCUGGCUUCUAAUCGGUGGCAGCUCUGCCCUGGUGACAGGUUUCCAUAGCUGGCCCCUAUUGCUGAAAGGUGGGCUCAGGUCUCGAGGAAGUGACCUGGGUCACCCAGGGGAGGGCAAUGUCUGUGCCGUGCAUAAUAUUUUAAACUAUGGUUCUUAACAUUUUCAGCUUUACACUAAUUUUUCCUUUAAUGUUUCCAGUCGGAGGGCUUGCCCUGGUUGAGGUUGAUGUCCUCUGCACUGAUUCUCACCCAGAUGGGGAGGCUGUGGGAUGAGGCACACAGAGCAGAGCCUGUGCUGUCACACAGGUCUUGGUUCAAAUCCUGGUUCUACCCUUUAUAGGCUGUGUGAUUUGGGAAAGUUGCUUAACCUUUCUGGACCUCUUCUGCAAAAGAGGGACGGUCAUAAUCCCUAUUUCAAAGGACACCUGCGAGAGAGACUGCAGGGAAAGCAUCGAGGACCCUCUCUGGCAGAGUGAAACCCCAGAUACAGGGUUCCCUUCCCUCAUUGCCUCCACUCCCAACGUAGAGUCCCAGGGGAUGUGGAAAGCCAGGUGGGCACUUCCGGGGAGAGAAAAAUAAGGAGACCAGAAUCAGCUAGCAUUUUGGAUGCAUCCUUAAUUCUCAGCAAGUUGUUGAUCUAACUGGGAAACAACUUGCCACGUGCUUAACUGGCCUCCUUUAGUAAUGGGAUCAAAUAUGCUUUCAGGACGAAGUCUGGGGCAUGGAGUCCUCUUCAGCUCUCGGCGGUUGCCCUCGGGCCCUGCAUGGGUAUAGAGUGAUUCAUUCUCUCGGGUGGAGAUCAUCUCCCUGCCUCCUCCUGGGCUGGCACCAGAGAUGGUGGUGUGACUCCCUCCCAUGGUUUAUCAUUCCAUCUCAUUUCUCAGUUAUCUGUGGAUGGGUCUCUCCCCCAUGAGAUUGGAAGCCAGUGGCGGGGAGGGUUGGACGGCGGGCAGAGUCUCUGUCACAUUCAUCCUCGCGUCUCCUUCUUCCUCCAUCAACCUGGUGGCUGCCAAGUAGUACUAAAAAAAAACCCAAACAAAACAAAACAAAACAAACUCUGCUAAUUAAGGACUAGGCCAAGAAGCAUUCCGAUUGCAGUGCCUACAUUCUCUGCUAAUCCCAUUGUAGCUUUGGUCUAUUGAUAGUUUUCAUAUCCUUUUCCACUUUACAGCUUUCAAUGGUAUCAACUAACGCUCCACCACAGAAUUGUCAUCUGUCUCCCUCAUUACGUUAGAGAGUCUUUGGGUGACCGUACGACUUUGAACAUGAAACUUAGGAAGUGAGGGACUGUGAGGAAUAGGAAGUGGGUCUUUAAAAACAAUUUUUUUAUUAAGGCGAAAUUCACAUAACAUAAAAUUAACCAUUUUAAGUGUAUGAUUCAGUGGUAUUUAAUACGUUGACAUUGUUGCACAAUCACUACCUGUAUCUAGUUCCAAAACAUUUUUAUGAAAAUCCUGUACCCAUGAUGCAGUCACUCCCUAUAUAACCAUCCACUCCAGCCCUUGGCAACCACUGAUCUGUGCUUUCUGUCUAUAGAUUUACCCAUUCUGGAUAUUUCAUAUAAAUGGAAUCAUAAUAUGUGGACUUUUGUGU
rnacentral:lncRNA from 1 species